GGUGAACGCUGGCGGCGUGCUUAAGACAUGCAAGUCGAUCGGCAGUCUUCGGACUGUAGUGGCGCACGGGUGAGUAACGCGUAACUGACCUACCCCAAAGUCGCGGAUAACGAUUCGAAAGAAUCGCUAAUACGUGAUGUGCUGUCAGAUUGUGUUCUGCCAGUAAAGAUUGAUUGCUUUGGGAUGGGGUUGCGUUCCAUCAGCUAGUUGGUGGGGUAAAGGCCCACCAAGGCGACGACGGAUAGCCGGCCUGAGAGGGUGGCCGGCCACAGGGGCACUGAGACACGGGUCCCACUCCUACGGGAGGCAGCAGUUAGGAAUCUUCCACAAUGGGCGAAAGCCUGAUGGAGCGACGCCGUGUGAGGGAUGAAGGUCUUCGGAUCGUAAACCUCUGAAUCAGGGACGAAAGACACUUCGGUGGGAUGACGGUACCUGAGUAAUAGCACCGGCUAACUCCGUGCCAGCCGCCGCAGUAAUAC
rnacentral:rRNA from 1 species